rnacentral:lncRNA from 1 species
CCGCAACAGAAGGAUAAUUGGUGGAAACAAAUCCUCCAGGGGAAGUUGGCCAUGGCAGGUCUCCUUGCGUCUGAAGGGGAUUCACAAAGAUGCUCGUUUGCUGUGCGGUGCAACACUUAUCAGCAGUUGUUGGGUGAUGACAGCAGCACAUUGCUUCAAAAGAUUUGGGGUAGACGUUCGUCGUUACCUUCUGCGGGUGGGAGACCAUCAUACCGGUGUGAAAGAUGAGUCGGAGAGAGAGUUGCCAGUGGAGAAGAUCCUCCUUCAUAGAAAUUAUCAGUCGAG